UGUAAAUAAGAUCCCACUAGAUUUUAACGCUCAGCACAAAUCUCAUUUAAAUUGUUUGCACAGUAAGAUGUAUUUGUUUUUGAUUUUAUGAAGUGGGGAGAUAUGGAGGAGCCUUAUCAACUUAGUAAAUGAUAAAAACACAAGCAGCAGCUCAGGCAAGAAGCCAAAUUCUGAUGUGAUUUGAAACCAUAGGACUUACUGAGAUGCAAAUCUGGAUACUCACUUUAUGAUAUCUGGUCAGGUAAUUCAGUACAGUUUGGAUACUGAGCAUAUGGAUGGACUGGAGCACCAGGCUGAACCACUAGGUCUGUUUAAGAGGACCAGACCCUAUUUCUCCAAGCAAAUGAAAGUGAAUGUAUUUGUCUUCUCUGAGAAAAGAAUCCCUGGAAAAACUGAGGAUACCAUUUGCUCGGUGUUACCAUAAGCUACCCGUUCAUUUCCCAUAGGCACUGCCUCACCAUCCCAUUAAAUUCAGACUCAGGUUCUGCGGACAUCAGAUCCUCUUUAUUAAAUUCCUCGUGACAGCUUGUUGUGAGCCCUGCUAUUUCUCAGCACUCAAAUAAGUGUUCCUGAUGACGUGAGUCACAAUUGUUAGUGUCACUCAUUAAAGUGUAUGAAGUCUGUCACCAAUUAAAAAUGACAUUUAUUAAAUGUGGCUAAAGCAGAGGCCUGCUUCUCAUCUUAAGUUUCCAGGGUAGCGUGCAGUGUUGCUGAAUUAUCUGUCCAUGAAGGCAAAGUUUCAUGGUUACAUCCUCAAGGAUUAAUGAGCAUUGGCCAAAGUCGGGACUGAAGUCAGGACCGAAA
rnacentral:lncRNA from 1 species